rnacentral:sRNA from 1 species
GUCAACAACCCCCCACUAGAAGUGGGGGGCUUGCAGGAGCAAUCCUACAGGCUCCAAGUUGACCAGACUCAGCAUUUUUUAAGUGCUACGUUACCGUAGAAAGAAAGUAGAGAUUUCUAACUUAGUUAGAAAGGUAACAAAACAAUGCAAUGGGCAAAGCGAGUACUCAACUU